CUCCGCCAACGCCGAGUCAGGGGGACCGCCAUCGCCUCCGCCGCGAAGCGUGCUUCCGUGCACAAGCUCUCCAAGGAGGAGUUCUGGGCCUUGGCUGAGAAGAUCCGGUCGACGGACGCGGCGGCGGCCGUGGAAAUGCUCGAGUCGUAUCUCGCCACAGAUGGAUGAGGGGGCAGUUGAUAGGGAUUGUGGAGGAAAAGAGUUCCAUGCCAUGCCAUGCCAUGGUUUAGCAGUUGGGCUGUGGAUGGCGAUCACAGGUCACAAGACUCUUUGCAGGCUGAAGACUGAAGUCAGACAAACCGAGAAGCCCGAUCUGGAGAUCGUCGGAAUCAAGAGAAUCAUUCGCGGUAUACCAGGUGUGGAGAGGAGUGCUCUGUGUUUUAUGUGUAAAAACACAUCAUGGACUCCAGGCUAGACUUCCAAUAAAGGUUUACCAGUUUCAAACACCCAUGCACGUUUAAAACUAACAGCUACACACACCAUCUAUGAUCUAUCCUGAUUAUUUCAAGAGCUGUAC